rnacentral:rRNA from 1 species
UUAAGUGAACAAGGGCAUACGGCGGAUGCCUUGGCGCCAAGAGCCGAUGAAGGACGCGGUAAGCUGCGAAAAGGCAUGGGUAGGAGCAAGCAUCCAGUGAUCCAUGCAUAUCCGAAUGGGGCAACCCACCAUCAGUCAUGUGAUGGUACGAAAGAGGCAGACCUGGGGAACUGAAACAUCUAAGUACCCAGAGGAAAAGUAAUCAAUUGAGAUUCCCUAAGUAGCGGCGAGCGAAAGGGGAAGAGCCCAAACCAUGAAACUUCGGUUUUGUGGGGUUGAGGACCGGCAAAAAGAGGAAACUUCUUAGUCGAAUGGUUUGGAAAGGCCAUGCACAGAAGGUAAAACACCUGUAGGCGAAAAGAAGUCAAUCGGGCUGGUAUCCAGAGUACUGCGAGACACGUGAAACCUUGCAGGAAGCAGGGGGGACCACCCUCCAAGGCAAAAUACUACUUGGCGACCGAUAGCGCAUAGUACCGUGAGGGAAAGGUGAAAAGAACCCCGGGAGGGGAGUGAAAUAGAACCUGAAACCGUAUGUCUACAAGCAGUCGAAGCACCUUAAGAGUGCGACGGCGUGCCUAUUGAAGAAUGAACCGGCGAGUUACAUUAUGUUGCGAGGUUAAGUGGGAGACACGGAGCCGAAGCGAAAGCGAGUCUUAAUAGGGCGACUAGUAACAUGGUGUAGACCCGAAACCGCAGUGAUCUAUCCAUGGUCAGGUUGAAGCGCAGGUAAAAAUGCGUGGAGGACCGAACCCGUGAGUGUUGAAAAACUUUGGGAUGAACCGUGGAUAGGGGUGAAAUGCCAAUCGAACGCGGAGAUAGCUGGUACUCCCCGAAAUAGCUUUAGGGCUAGCCUCAGGGAAGAUUAUAGACGGUAGAGCACUGAUCUGGCAAGGGGGCGUAAAGCCUACCGACCCUAGUCAAACUUCGAAUGGCUAUAAUUAAGACCCUGGGAGUCAGACUGCGAGUGAUAAGACCCGUAGUCAAGAGGGAAACAGCCCAGACCGCCGACUAAGGUCCCCAAUGCUGUACUAAGUGGAAAAGGAUGUAAGACUUCAUAAACAACCAGGAUGUUGGCUUAGAAGCAGCCACCAUUAAAAGAGUGCGUAAUAGCUCACUGGUCGAGAGGCCUUGCGCCGAAGAUGUCCGGGGCUCAAGUACAGAACCGAAGUCGCGGCAGGAUUAUAUAAUUCUGGGUAGGGGAGCGUUGUAUAUCCGACUGAAGGUGUACCGGAAGGAGCGCUGGAGGAUAUACAAGAGAGAAUGCCGGUAUGAGUAGCGAAAAGAACAGUGAGAAUCUGUUCCACCGAAAGCCUAAGGUUUCCUGAGCAACGCUCGUCGACUCAGGGUAAGUCGGGACCUAAGCCGAGGCAAAAAGCAUAGGCGAUGGACAACAGGUUAAUAUUCCUGUACCGCUUCAAAUCGUUUGAGCAAUGGAGUGACACAGAAGGUAGCUUGAGCACGCGAAUGGAUGUGCGUGUCGAAGGUGGUAGGUUGCAGUAUAGGCAAAUCCGUACUGUAUAAGACCGAGAACUGAUAGAUAGACGAUACUUCGGUAAAGUCAAAUUCAAGUGAGCCAUGCUGUCGAGAAAAGCUUCUAGUGAGAGAUGAGGCGCCCGUACCGAAACCGACACAGGUAGGCGGGGAGAGAAUCCUAAGGUGCGCGGGACAACCCUCGUUAAGGAACUCGGCAAAUUGUAUCCGUAACUUAGGGAUAAGGAUAGCCGGAGGAUGUGAAGGGAUUUACUUCUGGAGCGUCAGCCGGUGGCACAAGAGAGGCCCAAGCGACUGUUUAGCACAAACACAGGUGCCUGCAAAAGAGAAAUCUGACGUAUAGGUGCUGACACCUGCCCGGUGCUGGAAGGUUAAGAGGAGGGCUUAGAGGAAACUCGAAGGCUUGAAUUGAAGCCCCAGUAAACGGCGGCCGUAACUAUAACGGUCCUAAGGUAGCGAAAUUCCUUGUCGGGUAAGUUC